rnacentral:rRNA from 1 species
UGAUGCAUAAGCAGCAGUAAGAGACAACCUGGCGAAUUGAAACAUCUUAGUAGCCAUCAAGUGUGUCAACCUCACGAUCCCCAUGUCUCUUAAAGUAAUAAAUUUUAAGGAAGCGCCCUAGUGGGGAAAAAGAUGACAAAUCCAAAAUGGCUGGCAAUUUAGUGUCAUUAUUCUUUGUCAAACUCAAGGUAGUAGUACUAUCUUUAUCAAGUUAAUAUGCAAAAUCACUACAGUCGGUACCCUUGACAUAGGUUGUAGGGAAAGUGCGUAUGUGAAAUCAUUAUUUUACCUCCUUUUUUGUUCAUACAUUCAUAUAUGGCAAUGUCCUUUUUUCACGAAUAUGCAAAAGCCUUGCAUAUCAUUGCAUUGAUAGGAGAGUGUGAAAAUACAGGGUUUAGUUGUUACAGGAUAUAUGCCGCAACAAAAGGCCGCCUACAAGCAUGUGCGCAUGGAUGGCAUGAGUAAGCUGCCUCGACGCAUGGAUCUCUGUGGAAGCGCCUCCCACGAUGGACCAGGACUGCGUCUCCGGGAUGAUGACCGCAAGGCCUUUGGCGCCGGCGCAUGCUCACAAGCGGGCCUCCUCCUGAAUUGUUUGUAUGGCGCGUGUGACGGAUGGUUGGUCACCAUCGAAUAGGUAACUAUGCUUAAAGAAAAGUGCCUAGGCUAUAAAUCAGAUUACGUGAAUUAGUAGCUGGAAGAACUCUGCCCUGUAUUACACAGCCUAAGUACCAGAUUGACACCUAAGAAAUGGAUAUCCAGCGUCCACAUUUCCCUAUUUGUAGUAGAACAUAAAACUGAAUCAAAUCGAAGGUCCCCGUGCAUUGCAACGGGAUGACAAAAUAAACACAUGGAUAUACUUUGAUAAAAGAGAGAAUCAUGCAUAAUGUAGCAUAUACAUUUUGCACACAACUUUAUUGUAAACAAAACAUACUCGUGGAAAUUGCUAAGCUACUGGCUAUGUCCUGAAUAUACUGAAAUUGACUUCACUGGAUUUAUGACUUCAAGGUGGGCAGGAUCUGCAUGUUGAUCCAGCACAGGAAAAUUCAUUACCCCUAAUAUUUGAUAGAGACAAAGGCACCGACACAUGAUCAUGGAAAAGCAAAAUCCAGUUUUAUCACCAAAAAGAAAUGAAAAAACAAGUUAUUGGUGCUUUCUUUCUCUGUAGUCCUGAACCACUGCUUGGAUUGUGUGGAUAAUAGGGAACUUACAUAUAACAAGAACUCUUUAUAAUUUGGAAGUAUACGAUAUAACGUGGACAACAGUGUUCUCUCAAAAUCUGUAGCAAUCAAUGGAAAAAAGUAAAAGCUAAUCUCCUAACACUACAAUAUUCUCAGGUAUGUAUUCUUAAGAAUAGGGGUCAUCUUACUUUGCCAGGUACUCCCUCUGUAAACUAAUAUAAGAACAUUUAGAUCACUACUUUAGUAUUCUAAACGCUCUUAUAUUAGUUUACGGAGGGAGUACAAAAUUGACAAAUACAAUGGUACUGCUAGUAGCCUAUUAACGAUUUUGAAGAUGUGCAACAAGACAAGUUGUGCCAUUUGAAAAUGAGUGUAACCAUGGACAAUUAGGUCAACAUGUUCUAGUGGUAAUAAAACCAGGGACACCUGAAUUAGUACUACAAUUAUGUUAAUGUCAAAUUCUUCAGUUUGUUCCUAUAAAAAACGCCCACUGUAACUAUGUUUCAGUUCUUCAUCACUCCUUCCACUUUCGUGAAAAAGGGAAAAGGAAUAGGGCAGUAUUAACGAAGGGGGAUAUCUUACUGGAGAAAUAACGAUGAAUAUCUUAGACUUUUCUCUGUAGCUCUGAACCACUACUUGUAUUCUGUGGAUAAUAGGUAACUUACAUACAACAAGAACGCUUUAUAAUUUGGAAGUAUAUGAUAUAACGUGGACAACAGUGUUCUCCCAAAAUCUGUAGCAAUCGAUGGACAGAAGUAAAAGCUAAUCUCAUAACACUACAAUAUCAUCUAUUAUGUAUUCUUAAGAAUAGGGGUCAUCUUACUAUGGCAGGUACAAAAUUGACAAAGACAAUGGUACUGCUAGUAGCCUAGUAUCGAUUUUGGUGGAACUGGUUCUACUUUUUUUUAUAGCAUCCAAACCAAUCCAGAAGACCGGCAACCACAUGGGCAGGAAAAUUCUUGUGCACAUCCCCUGCUCCUAGUGUAACCCAACUGACAAACGUGAACAUACAUAUCUGGCGGAUUGCAUUACCUGAAGCGCACAUAGUCAGGGUUCUGGCCAGAGAGUUGCUCUGACAUGCCGCUGAACACGUGAUUGACGCCCCAACCGCGCAGACCUGGACCUGCGACGAACAGAGAAUCACGUGAGCAGCUGGAGGGUGAAGGAACCAUGAUGAGGCCAACAGAGGUCACAGACGCUAGACAGCAGUUAAGGACGAUGACUGCGUAGACAUCCAUGGAGCCGGCGGGGUUGCGUGCCAUAGCAGAAGAUGAAUUCUUUAACAUUUCUCUUUACCUUUUAGAAUCAUCAACGGCAAGAAUGUUGAAAGAAUUAGCAUAAAUAAAUUAGUGAUACUAAAAACAUGAUGGGAUGAUUAGUUAAACCAUUACCGCUCAUUCUCACCUUACUGACUCAUAACAAUCAAGCUUAAAAACAUGAUCUGACCAUGGACAAAGACAAAGACAAAAUGACCAAAAAGUCUAUAAAUAGAACUGCAGCAACAUGAUUGUGUACCAACAAAAAUUACAUGGCAGUGUGAUGGUAAUGUGCAUUCAACCCAGGGUUUUUUAUAGGCCACUUGCAAUUGGACAAGGAUUCAGAUUAGCACCUGAUCGGCACCAAUGCAACCGAUGCGGGGACAAUCUUGGACUCUUCGAUGACAACGACAAAGUGGCUGGCGGCGCCCUUGGACCUUGGUCAUCUUCUUGUUGAAAAGAAAGCCGCUCCUGCUCGCGGCCCUUGACGGGGUUGAGCUCCGAGUCGUCCACGCCAACGCUGUCGUUCCGCUCUCAUAAUUUGAAAAAGAGGUAAUGUACCGUACCACCAGGCAAGUAGUCAGAAUCAACUUUCACUUUCAUAUGGUUAGAUAUAGUGGACUAAAUUAAUUAGGCAGGGUUUGUGUACACAUUAGUAACAAAAUCAGUAAUCAACAAGGCAUAGUUAGGCAAAUCGACACACUGAAAAAACAUUGUUAAUGCAGUGUGAAAUAAGAGAGGGAUGGAACAUAGUACCUAUUCAUCGUAUGGUAAGAGAAGAUGUGGCAGCAAAACAAGUUGUGCCAUUUGAAGAUGAGUGUAACCAUGGACAAUCAGGUCAACAUGUUCUGAUGGAAGCAAUAUAUGAAAGGAACUGAUAGUAAAUGGAUGGAGCAACAUGAAUCUAACCAACAAAUCCUAGCUAAUGUUUCAAUUUUUUCCGGUAAGACCGCAGAUUCUCCUUUCACAUUUAUUCCAAGGGUGUGUUCAUAGUUAUUUGGCUUUAUAUAGUUUUCAAAUUACAAAUCUCAUAAAUGUUCACACACUUGUUUGGUCAACCUCAGUGCUCGAUGGUGCCGGGGAGCCAAUGAGUUCCUCUCUAUGUGGCAGACCGAAUUUCAAAAAAGGUUCACUCGCUAUUUUUCUAAAGUAAAAGACAGAACGCAACCUGAAUUCUAACGAAGUCAUAUAAUGUGUGAAAAGUCUGAUGGAACAAACCCAAGCUGAUGACAUACAACGUCAAAGCUAGAACAGUUAGUGAAUCAAUCAAGACACCCUCCCCCCACACACGUACACGACCAAAAUAAUAAUAAAAUUUACCUCUAGAAAGGGCACCCAGUAGUAAAUCAGAGCGCCGGCACAAUUUUAGUCAUAGGAGCAACUUAUCUCGCCAACAAUCUAUAAUGAACGGUUAGUGCUCACCAAGAUGAAUCUCUGUUUUCUUCAAUGCAUAUUAUAUAUUCUGUAGAUGAAUCUUCUUCUUCAGAACUCCUUUGUCCCGAUCUCUGUACGAAAUGAAUGUAUGAAUGUACAUUGUAAUGUGUAAAUAUUAAUGCUGAUGCAUAGUCCAAUAGUUAAUAUGCGUGUACGUACAUGUAUAUAUCCACACCAAAAUAAAAGGGAAAUAGUUCUGAUAUGGUACAGAACAUAGCACCAAAUGCCAAUGAAUUUGAAAUAGUAGUUCUGAUGUUCGAUGACAGACAUGUAGGGAAAUCUAAUGUUUUUAAUGGUCCAGCGUGAGAUAUACAUCUUAUGUUUCGAUGUUAGCUCAGAAACCGUUGGUUACAAAAAUCUCAUCAUCCCCAACACAUCAACGAGUAUAUACUAUUGCACAAUAUUGGUUUGUAGAUGUUCUCAUACAUUCAAAAGGGCCUUUCCAGUUCCAUCAUGAAACCUGCAUCAGUGUUUCAUGUUCCAGUUUUGUGUUAAGCGAAGUAUCCAACACUGUAAGUAUGAGAAUCAAUAUCGAGGAGAAGCUACACACUAUUGGCUAAACGCAAGGAUUGUUUUUCAAGUGUGCGACAAUGUAGAAAAAAAAACAGUAUCAAGGAGAACCUACACACCUUGCUUCCUCGACUUAGCAAUUAGUAUCGCAUAUAUAUCUUAUCUCCAAAUAAAAUUAAAAUAUGCAUGCAUAUCUUGUUUAUCAUGUCGGCAUAUGCAUCAGCAAAGCUAGCUGCCCCACGAACGGGCGGAUCCUAUAGGCGGUACGCGGCGGAACCUUGAAGUGAUCGGCGGCGGAUCCUGUAGGCGGUACGCGGCGGAUCCUAGAAGUGGUCGGCGGCGGAUCCUGGAAGUGAUCCGUGGCGGAUCCUGAAAGUGAUCGGCGGCGGAUCCGGGAAGGGAUCGUCGUGCGACUCCACAAGUAGAUCGUCGCCGGUUCAUGAAGCAAAGCGGUGGCGGCUUUGAACUGGGAGGGCACCGGCGAAGGGAUGCAGCGGCGGGGGCGAAGUGCAGAUGCCGUCGUGGAUCUGGGCGCUCCCUCUCCCUUCCCUUCCCUUCCCCUGCCUUCCCUUCCCUUGGGAUUCCCUUGGGAGAGGAAUAGAAGGUUGGGGGCGCCGGCGCAGGGGGGCGAGGAGAUCGCCGGCGGCGGGGUUGGAUUGGGGUGCGGCGGCGGCUGCGACUGGAGACGGGAG